CGUAUCACCCAAGACAACUUUACGGAGUUGACGAUUGACGGAGCGAAGCGACGUCAAAGCGUUCAUUAAAGUCGAGUUGGCUUAGGGAUACGUUCGUUGGGUAGGGGAGCGUUCUGUAAGCCUGUGAAGGUGUGUCGUGAGGCAUGCUGGAGGUAUCAGAAGUGCGAAUGCUGACAUAAGUAACGAUAAAGCGGGUGAAAAGCCCGCUCGCCGGAAGACCAAGGGUUCCUGUCCAACGUUAAUCGGGGCAGGGUGAGUCGACCCCUAAGGCGAGGCCGAAAGGCGUAGUCGAUGGGAAACGGGUUAAUAUUCCCGUACUUGGUGUUACUGCGAAGGGGGGACGGAGAAGGCUAUGUUGGCCGGGCGACGGUUGUCCCGGUUUAAGCGUGUAGGUGUGUGUUCCAGGUAAAUCCGGUUCACUUUAACACUGAGGCGUGAUGACGAGGCACUACGGUGCUGAAGCAACAAAUGCCCUGCUUCCAGGAAAAGCCUCUAAGCAUCAGGUAACAUCAAAUCGUAC
rnacentral:rRNA from 1 species